AGAAGCCCCAACCUCGGUUCGUCGCCCUCCUCCCCUUUAGUAUAGCUCCCUCACUGUCUAACUGCUUCCGUGCUUCUCAUCUCUUUGGUGUUGGGUGCGCGAGAACAGAGAAAGAACCCUAAUCGUUCGUCGCUUCUCUUCAUGUUCUGCUCUUGGCAAUCGGAGAUCGAGGAGGAAUUCGACGAGUUUGCUGAGAUUCCGAGAUAACCAUGGCGGGAAACCCUCGGAGGUUCACUGUAGGUUACGCUCUCGCUCCCAAGAAGCAGCAGAGCUUCAUCCAGCCCUCGCUUGUCGAACUCGCACGCCGGCGAGGCAUCGAUCUCGUCCCCAUCGACGGCACCCGGCCCCUCGCCGAACAGGGACCCUUUGAUUGCUUGCUCCACAAACUCUACGGCGAGGAUUGGAAGGCCCAGCUUGACGAUUUCGCCACCAGGAACCCUGGCGUCCCCAUUGUCGACCCUCCCCUCGCCAUCGAGCGCCUCCACAACCGCAUCUCCAUGCUUCAGGUCGUCUCCGAGCUCGAGAUUCCCCAGAACAGGGAGACCUUCGGGAUCCCAAGCCAGGUCGUGAUCUAUGAUUCCGGCACCCUCUCCAACUCCGGCGUCGUCGGGGCCCUCCGUUUCCCCGUCAUUGCUAAGCCCCUGGUGGCCGAUGGCAGUGCUAAGUCUCAUAAGAUGUCCCUUGUUUUCCACCGGGAUGCCCUCCUAAAACUCAAACCGCCGCUGGUGCUGCAGGAGUUUGUGAACCAUGGCGGGGUUAUCUUCAAGGUGUAUGUAGUGGGGGAUUACGUUCAGUGCGUGAAGAGGAAGUCUCUUCCGGAUGUCUCCGAAGAGAAGUUGGAGUGUUCCGAGGGGUCGGUCACCUUUUCGCAGGUGUCAAACAUGACGACACAGGACCCAACGGAGGUAGAGUAUUACAUGCAUCUGGAUGAGGCAGAGAUGCCUCCGUUGAGCUUUGUCACCGAGAUAGCGAAGGGUUUGAGGCAGGCGAUGGGACUGUGCCUUUUCAAUUUUGACGUGAUCAGGGAUGUGAAGGUCGGAAACCAUUACGUUGUGAUCGACAUUAAUUAUUUUCCCGGGUAUGCGAAGAUGCCAUGUUAUGAAAACGUCUUAACGGAUUUCUUCUGGAAUAUCGUUCAUGAGAACAAAGGACAAGAUGCUGAAGUCUCGGCCAUCAGCAGCAACGACAAAGAUAGUAAGCUUUUGGUUGGCAAUCACUGCAAGAUGGCAGAAGAUAUGGAGAACGAUGGAUGAGGUUCGCGAAGCUGCCUUUCUUUUAGAAAUCUGAUUUUACUUGAGUACUUGAAAGGUACAAUUUGCACUUCUCUGCAAACUAAGAUGAUCUAAGCAUUAUGAAUAUGGCUGCAUGCUGUGGACUUGGCUGAAUAAGUAGGUUGGGCAUAGGCGUUUCUAACUUUGUGACGAGUUUAUUUGGUUCUUACAUUGACAAUGUACAUCCUUCAUUUUGUGGCAAUAAUUAGUCACACAUCCUUCUAACAUGCGUCAACUGGACAAUUAGAAGUGUAUGGUCUGUGGUUUUUUCAAAAGGAUUACAUUCUGAUUCCAAUCAAUCAGGCAUCUGUAGUACAUAAAAAGCAAAGGCUGCCAAACCAAGGAGCCACUUCGGAUGGUGAAAUGCUUGAUGGUUAAAUAGUGAAGUACCAACCAUUGAUCGAUGAAGCAGCCAAAGCAAUGCUAAGGCAGAUACUAAAGAUGACUAUGCUAGAAUCUUUGAUCAAUUUGGAUAAUCAUUUGAUAGAGAACUUCCAGUCUCUGUCUGAAACAUUUGAAAGGUACUUCAAGUCAGAGUUCUCACAUUAAACUAAUCAGAAGUCCCUACAAAUUCUGGAAUUUGGUCUUGUGCCUGCAAGCUCUGGUUUUUCAGCUGUUCCCUCAGAUUCAGCUGAAUUUGGUGAGUCUACUGCAGCGGUAGCAGAAAUGAUUGGAACAGUUAAAUUGAGCAACAUAGGAGUGUUAUCUGCAGUUCCAGGGUACAUUGCCCCAUCUACGAUACUAUUGACAUUCCAGUUGGGAAUCUGGUGGUGGAUUUGCCAUAGAAUUUGUAUGUUGGUGCAUGUGUCAGAGAAUUUGUAUGUCAAUCCACUGACAUUAGAUGAGGCAAUGCGUCUUGAGAUAGAUGAUUUUUUGGCACAUACCGAUAUUAACUUUCAUGAUGAUGAAGAGAAACUCCCUGACAUUAUGUAUGCAUUUUGAUAGUGGUUAUUCACGUCUAGCCCUCUGUCAAGUCCAGCUUACAGGGAGCAAUGUGCAGAAGCCUCAUUGAAUGAUACUCUAACAUAUGGAUCAUCUUACACAUAGAUGGGGCUUCUUUCAUCAGACACCAAUAUUUAGUAUGGUAUUUGCCUCUCUCUCGUUGCCUCUAGUUACUCUGGGAGCACCCUUGACAGCAGUCUAUUUUGCUACCAAAUGUCCUGCCUCCUUUAAUAUUCUAUAUAGUUCUAAAAAAUUCGUCACUAGCUUGUCUGAUUGAUGCCUCUGUGUUUUCACAUGAAGCUUUUUUAGAGUGGAACUUUUGCUUGAGAUGGCUUUCAUAUAUCUGGUUUGUGUAAAAGUCCAUUGCUUGAGCACCAGGUUGAUUUUUUGUUCCUACUGUUCUAAUCUCUUGAGUCUAAUUAAGAGGACGAUCUGGAGUUUGGUUUACGAUAAAAUGUAAUCAGAAACUAGUGAAAUUGCCCACUUCGAUUUGGUUCAAUACACCACAUAUUGAACACGAUGUGGUACAUGUUUAGUUGAACUUUGGUUGACUGGUUUGUUGCUAUAUUCAAAGACCUCAGUGUUCUCGUGAUAUGAUAAAUUGAUUUGAUUCAAGCAUGGGUUUCGAUUUGAGAGCGUUUAGUUCUUCUCGAAUUGAUUGUUGUAGACUACACCGUACAUAAGAUCGAUAAUCGACAUAUAGCUUUUAUAUGGUACGGUGAAAGCGAGAAGGCUGAUUCCUACUAUCCUUUACGUUAUUAAUGGUGAAUCUAAGUUAGUAUUUAUUAUCUAUAUUAUCUCUCAGCAUUAUAUAAAAUCAUUGGUAGUUGCUACUAAUUGCUGGUAAAUUGUAAUACUAAUGAAGAUUAUUUUGAGCCCAGAGAAAAAAUUUCAGCCUAGUAAGGUUAGAUCGAGUAUAACAGUUUUGGGCUUUUUUUUUUUGUUAUUAAAGUCGCGAUCUGGACCGUAGGUUCGCCCGAUGUAUGGCUCAGAUCAAGCUUGACGAGCCGGGCUCAUCACUAAACCGGGUUGCUUAUCGGCUCGGGUCGACUCGGGUAAACUGCCGACUCUAGUUUCCGAGUCGAUUCUAGCGGGUUCUUAUAAAAGGUCAAAAAAAAAAAAAACAUAAAGAAAAAGAAAAGGCCUCCACACGCGACGCGACUCGACCGGCGUUUUUGGCUGCCGUCGGACGAGACGGCUCCCCUCUGCAACUGCGAAGGUCGCUUCCCCUCUGCCGCUGACGAAGGCGACCAUCUAUCCUCUGCCACUGUCCCGGGCACCUCAUCCAUCUGAGGGCAUUUGUACAAUUAGAAUGGCAAAAGGAUUAGUAUGGCAACUACUGAAGACUUGGCAAGGAACCUAGCAAAGGUUUUGUCAUUGUACCAUCAAAUCUUGAGAAGCCUCAACCCCCCAGAACUCCUACUUACCCAUGCUGCUCGUCUUGCCAAGAAAGCAGAGGUCCACAGCAUCUUCUUGUUCGGAGCUGAAGAACGUUCUCUUCGCAACAUUGCUGACCUCAUUGAUGCUGCUAAUUACUCCCUUUCCAUCCUUAAGCAGGGUCGCCUCCCAUAGUAUACAAAUGUUGAUAGGAACUCUUGUUUGCCCUCUCACACUAAUCCUUGGAACUGUCUAUCGUAUUGCUUCAUUGUAUUAUGACCUUUGAAGUGAAACUUGUUAAAAUAUGCACUUUAGUGAGGAUUGUUAACCUGGAUAUCAUUUAUGCUUUGUUGCAGAUC